CAGUAGCCGCGGGAAUACGGAGGAUCCAAGCGUUAUCCGGAAUUAUUGGGUUUAAAGGGUCCGUAGGCGGUCUUGUAAGUCAGUGGUGAAAGCCCAUCGCUCAACGGUGGAACGGCCAUUGAUACUGCAGGACUUGAAUUAUUGGGAAGUAACUAGAAUAUGUAGUGUAGCGGUGAAAUGCUUAGAGAUUACAUGGAAUACCAAUUGCGAAGGCAGGUUACUACCAAUUGAUUGACGCUGAUGGACGAAAGCGUGGGUAGCGAACAGGAUUAGAUACCCCCGUAGUCCCUGUCUCUUAUAC
rnacentral:rRNA from 1 species